GUGCCAGCCGCCGCGGUAAUACGGAGGGUGCAAGCGUUGUCCGGAUUUAUUGGGUUUAAAGGGUGCGUAGGCGGCUAUUUAAGUCAGCGGUGAAAUCCUCCAGCUUAACUGGAGAAUUGCCAUUGAUACUGGAUAGCUUGAGUUCAGACGAGGUAGGCGGAAUUUAUGGUGUAGCGGUGAAAUGCAUAGAUACCAUAAAGAACACCGAUUGCGAAGGCAGCUUACUAGACUGAAACUGACGCUGAGGCACGAAAGCGUGGGUAGCAAACAGGAUUAGAUACCCUGGUAGUCC
rnacentral:rRNA from 1 species